rnacentral:rRNA from 1 species
ACUCAAAUGAAUUGACGGGGGCCCGCACAAGCGGUGGAGCAUGUGGUUCAAUUCGACGCAACGCGAAGAACCUUACCUGGGCUCGAACGGCUUCUCAACGAUCGUAGAAAUACGGUUACCCCGCAAGGGGGUGGAGUCGAGGUGCUGCAUGGCUGUCGUCAGCUCGUGUCGUGAGAUGUUGGGUUAAGUCCCGCAACGAGCGCAACCCUCGCCCUUAGUUGCUAGUCCGCAAGGACGCACUCUAGGGGGACUGCCACGGAUAACGUGGAGGAAGGUGAGGAUGACGUCAAGUCCUCAUGGCCUUUAUGUCCAGGGCUACACACGUGCUACAAUGGCCAGUACAAUCCGUCGCCAACCCGCAAGGGGGAGCCAAUCGGAAAAAGCUGGCCUCAGUUCGGAUUGCAGUCUGCAACUCGGCUGCAUGAAGCUGGAAUCGCUAGUAAUGGUGGAUCAGCAUGCCACCGUGAAUACGUUCCCGGGCCUUGUACACACCGCCCGU